CGCGGCCUAUCAGCUUGUUGGUGGGGUAGUGGCUUACCAAGGCUUUGACGGGUAGCCGGCCUGAGAGGGCGACCGGCCACAUUGGGACUGAGAUACGGCCCAGACUCCUACGGGAGGCAGCAGUGGGGAAUAUUGCACAAUGGGCGGAAGCCUGAUGCAGCAACGCCGCGUGCGGGAUGACGGCCUUCGGGUUGUAAACCGCUUUCAGCAGGGGCGAAGCUUGUGGUGACGGUACCUGCAGAAGAAGCACCGGCUAACUACGUGCCAGCAGCCGCGGUGAUACGUAGGGUGCGAGCGUUGUCCGGAUUUAUUGGGCGUAAAGAGCUCGUAGGUGGUUGAUUGCGUCGGAAGUGAAAACUUGGGGCUUAACCCUGAGCGUGCUUUCGAUACGGGUUGUCUUGAGGAAGGUAGGGGAGAAUGGAAUUCCUGGUAGAGCGGUGGAAUGCGCAGAUAUCAGGAGGAACACCAGUGGCGAAGGCGGUUCUCUGGACCUUUCCUGACGCUGAGGAGCGAAAGCGUGGGGAGCGAACAGGCUUAGAUACCCUGGUAGUCCACGCUGUAAACGGUGGGUACUAGGUGUGGGGUCCAUUCCGCGGAUUCCGUGCCGUAGCUAACGCAUUAAGUACCCCGCCUGGGGAGUACGG
rnacentral:rRNA from 1 species